GGUUAAGUUAGAAAGGGCGCACGGUGGAUGCCUUGGCACUAGGAGCCGAAGAAGGACGGGACUAACACCGAUAUGCUUUGGGGAGCUGUACGUAAGCGUUGAUCCAGAGAUUUCCGAAUGGGGGAACCCACUAUCUUUAGUCGGAUAGUAUCCUUACGUGAAUACAUAGCGUGAGGAAGGCAGACCCAGGGAACUGAAACAUCUAAGUACCUGGAGGAAGAGAAAGAAAAAUCGAUUUCCUGAGUAGCGGCGAGCGAAACGGAAAGAGCCCAAACCAAGAAGCUUGCUUCUUGGGGUUGUAGGACACUCUAUACGGAGUUACAAAAGAAAGUUAUAAAUGAAGCGGUCUGGAAAGGCCCGCCAAAGACGGUAACAGCCCGGUAGUUGAAAUGGCUUUCCCUCCAGAGUGGAUCCUGAGUACGGCGGAACACGUGAAAUUCCGUCGGAAUCCGGGAGGACCAUCUCCCAAGGCUAAAUACUCCCUAGUGACCGAUAGUGAACCAGUACCGUGAGGGAAAGGUGAAAAGCACCCCGGAAGGGGAGUGAAACAGUUCCUGAAACCGUGUGCCUACAAGUAGUUAGAGCCCGUUAAUGGGUGAUAGCGUGCCUUUUGUAGAAUGAACCGGCGAGUUACGAUUUGUUGCAAGGUUAAGCGGAAAAAGCGGAGCCGUAGCGAAAGCGAGUCUGAAUAGGGCGCAUAAGUAACAGGUCGUAGACCCGAAACCAGGUGAUCUACCCAUGUCCAGGAUGAAGGUAAGGUAAUACUUACUGGAGGUCCGAACCCACGCACGUUGAAAAGUGCGGGGAUGAGGUGUGGGUAGCGGAGAAAUUCCAAUCGAACUUGGAGAUAGCUGGUUCUCUCCGAAAUAGCUUUAGGGCUAGCCUCGAGGUAAAGAGUCAUGGAGGUAGAGCACUGUUUGGACUAGGGGCCCUUCUCGGGUUACCGAAUUCAGAUAAACUCCGAAUGCCAUGUACUUAUACUCGGGAGUCAGACUGCGAGUGAUAAGAUCCGUAGUCGAAAGGGAAACAGCCCAGACCACCAGUUAAGGUCCCCAAAUAUAUGUUAAGUGGAAAAGGAUGUGGGGUUGCUUAGACAACCAGGAUGUUGGCUUAGAAGCAGCCACCAUUGAAAGAGUGCGUAAUAGCUCACUGGUCGAGUGACCCCGCGCCGAAAAUGUACCGGGGCUAAACAUAUUACCGAAACUGUGGAUGAACCUCUUUAGAGGUUCGUGGUAGGAGAGCGUUCUAAGGGCGGUGAAGUCAGACCGGAAGGACUGGUGGAGCGCUUAGAAGUGAGAAUGCCGGUAUGAGUAGCGAAAGAAGGGUGAGAAUCCCUUCCACCGAAUAUCUAAGGUUUCCUGAGGAAGGCUCGUCCGCUCAGGGUUAGUCGGGACCUAAGCCGAGGCCGAUAGGCGUAGGCGAUGGACAACAGGUAGAGAUUCCUGUACCAGUGCUAAUUGUUUAACCGAUGGGGUGACACAGAAGGAUAGGGAAUCGCACGAAUGGAAAUGUGCGUCCAAGCAGUGAGUGUGA
rnacentral:rRNA from 1 species